UGCAAGUCGAGGGGCAUCACGUGUAGCAAUACAUGGUGGCGACCGGCGGAAGGGUGCGUAACGCGUGAGCAACAUGCCCGUAUCAGGGGGAUAAACCAGGGAAACUUGGUCUAAUACCGCAUAAUAAGUUUCUAAGGCAUCUUAGGGAUUUUAAAGUUUUGGUGGAUACGGAUUGGCUCGCGUGACAUUAGCUAGAUGGUAAGGUAACGGCUUACCAUGGCAACGAUGUCUAGGGGUUCUGAGAGGAAGAUCCCCCACACUGGAACUGAGACACGGUCCAGACUCCUACGGGAGGCAGCAGUGAGGAAUAUUGGACAAUGGAUGGAAAUCUGAUCCAGCCAUGCCGCGUGCAGGAAGACAGCCCUAUGGGUUUUAAACUGCUUUUAUACGGGAGCAAUAAGGACUAUGCGUAGUUUGAUGAGAGUACCGUACGAAUAAGCACCGGCUAACUCCGUGCCAGCAGCCGCGGUAAUACGGAGGGUGCAAGCGUUAUCCGGAUUUAUUGGGUUUAAAGGGUGCGUAGGCGGUUUUAUAAGUCAGCGGUGAAAUUUUUCAGCUUAACUGGAACAAUGCCGUUGAUACUGUAAAGCUGGAAUAUGGUUGCUGUGGGUGGAAUGUGUGGUGUAGCGGUGAAAUGCUUAGAUAUCACACAGAAUAUCGAUUGCGAAGGCAGCUCACAAAUCCAUUAUUGACGCUGAUGCACAAUCACUAG
rnacentral:rRNA from 1 species